ACAACACUGCAUAAAAGUAAAUAUAAAGUCAGCAGCCGCAUACUAGAACGGAAAAUACGGUAUUUGAUUUACCCAUGAAAUAUUUAUUUAUGCCACGAAUUACGCUAUGAUAUUGAACAAUUAUUUUUGAUUCAUUUUCAUUAUUGUUUUCAUAUUAUCACCAUAAUAUUGACAUGCAUAAUAUAAUAGGAGGAAUACUUCAUGGUUUGCUCUCUUAAUAUAGCUACCGAGUUAAAAUUUACUCAUACAGAGUGGGCUAUAAAUAAUUGUUCUAUAAUAUUAUGAUGUCUGCGUUAUAGAUAGGAAUAAACAGAAAAAAAAAAAGUUUUCGACGUAUUCAAUCUUCAUUUAUACAUUAUAAAUGUGUUGAUUUGCGUUUUUCGAACCU